rnacentral:rRNA from 1 species
ACCCGUGACCAAAUGCCCUGCAAUGUGCUCGGGUCAUGUCAAAUCUCAGAAGCUAAGCAGAUUUGAGCCUGAAUGGUGCUUGUAUGGGUGACCACCAUGCAUACCAGGUUGCUAUAGGCU